rnacentral:rRNA from 1 species
AGAGUUUGAUCCUGGCUCAGAUUGAACGCUGGCGGCAUGCUUUACACAUGCAAGUCGAACGGUAACAGGCCGCAAGGUGCUGACGAGUGGCGAACGGGUGAGUAAUGCAUCGGAACGUGCCCAGUCGUGGGGGAUAACGCAGCGAAAGCUGGCUAAUACCGCAUACGAUCUAUGGAUGAAAGCGGGGGACCGUAAGGCCUCGCGCGAUUGGAGCGGCCGAUGUCAGAAUAGGUAGUUGGUGGGGUAAAGGCCUACCAAGCCGACGAUCUGUAGCUGGUCUGAGAGGACGACCAGCCACACUGGGACUGAGACACGGCCCAGACUCCUACGGGAGGCAGCAGUGGGGAAUUUUGGACAAUGGGCGCAAGCCUGAUCCAGCAAUGCCGCGUGCAGGAAGAAGGCCUUCGGGUCGUAAACUGCUUUUGUACGGAACGAAACGGCUCUGGUUAAUACCCGGAGCUAAUGACGGUACCGUAAGAAUAAGCACCGGCUAACUACGUGCCAGCCGCCGCGGU